rnacentral:rRNA from 1 species
GACCGAUAGCGAACCAGUACUGUGAAGGAAAGGCGAAAAGAACCCCGGGAGGGGAGUGAAAUAGAUCCUGAAACCGCAUACAUACAAACAGUAGGAGCCCGCAAGGGUGACUGCGUACCUUUUGCAUAAUGGGUCAGCGACUUACGUUCAAUGGCAAGCUUAACCGAGUAGGGGAGGCGCAGCGAAAGCGAGUCCGAACAGGGCGAUAUGAGUCGUUGGGCGUAGACCCGAAACCAGAUGAUCUAUCCAUGGCCAGGCUGAAGGUGUGGUAACACACACUGGAGGGCCGAACCGACUAGUGUUGCAAAAUUAGCGGAUGAGCUGUGGAUAGGGGUGAAAGGCUAAACAAAUCUGGAGAUAGCUGGUUCUCCCCGAAAACUAUUGAGGUAGUGCCUCGUGUAUGGCUCCAGGGGGUAGAGCACUGUUAUGGCUAGGGGGACAUGGCGUCUUACCAAACCAUGGCAAACUCCGAAUACUUGGAAGUCUGAGCACGGGAGACAGAGCACCGGGUGCUAACGUCCGGACUCAAAAGGGAAACAACCCAGACCGCCGGCUAAGGUCCCUAAUAUUGACUAAGUGGAAAACGAAGUGGGAAGGCUAAGACAGUCAGGAAGUUGGCUUAGAAGCAGCCAUCCUUCAAAGAAAGCGUAAUAGCUCACUGAUCGAGUCUUCCUGCGCGGAAGAUGUAACGGGGCUAAGUCAAUAACCGAAGCCGCGGAUUCGCAGCAAUGCGAGUGGUAGGGGAGCGUUCUGUAAGCCUGCGAAGGCGGAUCUGCGAGGACCGCUGGAGGUAUCAGAAGUGCGAAUGCUGACAUGAGUAACGUUAAAGCGGGUGAAAAGCCCGCUCGCCGCAAGCCCAAGGUUUCCUGCUCUACGUUCAUCGGAGCAGGGUGAGUCGGCCCCUAAGGUCAGGCUGAGAAGCGUAGCUGAUGGGAAGCUGGUUAAUAUUCCAGCACCGAUUUCAAGUGCGAAGGGGGGACGGAGUCCUGAAGGUCAUCCGGGUGUUGGAUAUCCCGGUUUACGAGCGUAGGAGGUUGACAGGCAAAUCCGUCAACGGAUCUCCAAGGCGAAGGAUCGAGGUUGAGAGAUCAACUGAAGUGACUGAAUGGGCUUCCAGGAAAAGCCUCUAAGCAUCAGCUUGGAAUUGACCGUACCGCAAACCGACACUGGUGGGCGAGCUGAAUAUGCUCAGGCGCUUGAGAGAACUCAGGAGAAGGAACUCGGCAAAUUGACACCGUAACUUCGGGAUAAGGUGUGCCUUUGUAGUGUGAAGAGAGAAACACUCCGAGCAUGAAGAGGCCUCAGAGAAUCGGUGGCUGCAACUGUUUACUAAAAACACAGCACUCUGCAAAGAUGAAAGUCGACGUAUAGGGUGUGAUGCCUGCCCGGUGCUGGAAGAUUAAUUGAUGGGGUGCAAGCUCCUGAUCGAAGUCCCAGUAAACGGCGGCCGUAACUAUAACGGUCCUAAGGUAGCGAAAUUCCUUGUC